AGAUUCAGUCCCUGGCCUUGGAACUUCCAUAUGCCACAGGUGUAGCCAUCAAAUCAAAUAAAUAAAAAUUUUAAAAGAUGAAAAAGGGUGAGAACUGGAUAAGCGACCCUGGCAGCAGUACUCAGGUGUCCAUCCCCCCAAACGACACAUUCCACCAUAAGGUGUUUCCAGGAGCAAAAAUAUCAAGACCUGUGGAAUCCACAGGCAGUCCUGCCUUCUUUGCCUUUUUGUCUUAUUUCCCGACCGUUGUGUAAUCCUCCUGUGGAAUCAAACACGGCACUUUCCAUAGAAAACACCCAGGCUAGGGGUCAAAUCAGAGCUGUAGCCGCUGGCGUAUGCCACAGCCACAGCAAUGCCAGAUCCAACUGCCUCUGCGUCUGCGACCUAUACCACAGCUUAUGGCAACGCCACAUCCUUAACCCACUGAGUGAGACCAGGGAUUGAACCUUAUGGAUGCCAGUCAGAUUCGUUUCCACUGAGCUAUGAUGGGAACUCCCCUUUUCUUUUUUUGCUUUUUGCUUUUUAGGGCCACACCUGCGGCAUAGGGAGGUUCCCAGGCUAGGGGUCAAAUCGGAGGUACAGCUGCCAACCUACACCACAGCCACAGCAAUGCAGGAUCCUAGCCGAGUCUGCAAUCUACACCACAGCUCACGGCAACACCAGAUCCUUAACCCACUGAGCGAGGUCAGGGAUCGAACCCGCAACCUCAUGGUUCCUAGUCGGAUUCGUUGCCAGUGUGCCACGAUGGGAACUCCUGAUUAUAGGUAAUCUUGCUCACAUAGAGUUUUUGGUGCAACAUUGAACUUCCCUAGAGGUCAGGGACUUCAGGGGCACCUGCGCCUUCUACACUCUUCUGGGAAAGGGAAGAGAAAGGGCAGGCUGUUUUUCUGGAAAUGUGUUUCAGGAAACUGGCAUGUGGGGAAUUUUCCCAGGGUGCCUCUGCAAUGAAAUCCAGGCAUGUGGAUUUGCUGCUCUGGACAUGGUGCCUCUAAGCUCUUCCUUCUGGAGAGCUGUGGUUUUCUAUCUACUUACUGGAUCUGUGAUGUCCUAAAGGAAGACCAUGAUCAUCCCUCCCUGCUCUUUUUUUUUUUUUCUUUUUUUUUUGGUCUUUUUAGGACCACACUCUUGGCAUAUAGAGGUUCCCAGGCUAGGGGGCCAAUCAGAGCUGUAGCCGAUGGCCUACACUACAGCCACAGCAAUGAAUGAUCUGAGCCGCAUCUUUGACCUAUACCAUAGCUCACGGCAAUGCCAGCAAUCCUUAACCCACUGAGCGAGGCCAGGGAUCAAACCCGAGUCCUCAUGGAUGCUUGUCGGGUUCAUUAACUGCUGAGCCACGACGAGAACUCCCCCUCUCUGCCUUCAGAGUUUGCCCCUGGAUGGUCUUGUAGACCAGCCAUGAUCAGGCAGUGGGGCUGGGUUUGGAGCACCUUGGAAUCGAUCAUUUCUUUCCAUCAGUUUGGACUGAGUAUAACCCAGAUUUUAUUCCAUUCAGAGCACCCUUUAAAAAAAUGUUUAAACCCUGUGUGUACUUCAUGGGAAAUUUCACAUGCCUGUUUCUGAUUCACUUCCAAUUAAAGGCUCAAAAUGCUGGUUUUGUAAGAGCUCUUUGAUGAUCAGAUUCUUGUUGGUUCAUCUUUUUUUUUUUUGCUCCUAAAAGUCCACAGAAGUUUAAUAAAUGUUGCUCAAACAUUUGCAUGCUUAAUUGUUAAAAAUAAUUGGAAACAGGAGAGAAUUCUUACUGGGUGUGCACAAGACAAGCACAUUUAAAAGGGGAAAGAGAGAGACAGAUGCCUCCAUGAACGUGAACUCUUAUGGGAAAAUACGGCAUGUGAUUAAAGUGGGCAUCUUGGUGUCCCCAUCACUGGAAGGAGGGAGUGGCCCUGAGCUCAGUUCCUUUGGAAGGGUCAGGAAGUGUUGUAGGAAACAAAGGAGUCCCUCUUAGCACAACCAGUCAGCAUCAACAAGCAGUCAGUGGAGCAGUCAGUCUCAUCAGAGGUGGACCAGGUGGAGUGGUGCUUUUUUCAGAUGCUGAUGCUGCUUUCAGUUCCCUUCUGAUUGGAGGGAGUUAGUUGUCUGCAAUAACAGCAAGCUGUAUCCUCCACCUCCUUCUUCAUACUCAUGAAAAAGCCUUGAUGAUGAGCCUACCUGGCCACACCUCUGCACUAAAUGCAGAAGAGACUGAGGAUGCAGGUCCCCCUGCACCUGUGGGAAGGGUCCCAGGUUCUCUGUGGGUACCAGUCCCUCUAAAGAGCUGAAGUGGGCACGGAAUGUGGGGGAAUCUGACUUCGGCUCCUGGCUUUGCUUUUGGCUGCCUGGGUGACGCUGAACAAGUUAUUCUCCUUUCCUAACCUCAGCUUCUCCAUCCACCCAAAAGGAUUAAGACGAGUAAUAGUACAGUCCUCUUCUCUGGAGGAUUUGGUGAAAAUCGGACUGAUGAGUUGCUUUGCAUUUCUUGAAGAAAAGCAUCAGUUAGUUAUGACCACUUAAUUGACGAUUGGAUGGCUCAUUCCAUGAUUGUUCUUGUUGUCAAUUAUGAAUUAUUUCCAUUUCUGAGCCUUAUCUGGACAGCUUAAUGAAGAGACAUCACCCUUCUCUCUUUUUAAAUUACUCAAUGAAUUUUAUUACAAUGAUUUCUGUCUUUAUUGUUAGGGGCUGAUUAGCCAUAUUCCUCCAGCCAGAGUUACAAAAUGUAACUUUGUAUUCACACAACAUAAUGUGAGGAUGCUGUGUGCUCCUUCUUGCCUUAAAAAGGUGAGGCAAAACCAUAGGGUUUUGCAAAUUAUUGUGAGAGUGGCAGAAUGGCUCCGUGAAAGCCACGUGCAAUUCAAAGUGUGAAAAUCUAGGUUUGAAAGCUGCUUAUUAGCUGUGUGACCUGGGGCCAGAUAUGAAUUUUUCAGAUCUUCUCCCUUUCCGUCUGCACAGUAAGACUAGUAAUGAUAGUAAUAAGAAGUCAUGUUAUGUAUUCUACCAGCCUCACUGACCAAUUAUAAGUGUGGAAGUAAAAACCUUUUGUAAUGGUAACGAGCUGUGUAAAUAUUGGUUAUUAUUAUCUUAGUUAUUUUUCUCAUCCAGGUCGGUGCUCGAACAUAACCGAUAAUAGCUGUUGAUUACACUGAGUCGUGGGGUUGCUUUUUUCUGGCUUUCAUGGUUCCCAAGACUUAACUUGCAUUUGGUUCGAUUUGUCAGUUAGCUGUUUAUUCCUACCUCUCUGCUGGUAUAGACACUCUCUCCUGUGAAUGCACCAGUAUGGACCCAACAUUGCUGGCUCUCGUCUCCCCUCCCUUGCAUCCGGCCAUUGUUCCACUCAUGAAACUCCCAUCCCAAUCAAUGGGAGUUUUACGUAAAAACCGAUGACAGGAUGUGAGUGCAGCUUCAGGAAUUCCAGGCUUGUGCUGCUGAUAAAGAGACUUGUGUCUGACUGAACACACCAGAGAAACAGAAUUCUCCUGUCCAACCUGUGCUGGACAUGUUUUUCUGGGUUUUGUUUUGUUUUGUUUUUACUUUUGUCUCUGUCUUCAAAGAGUCAGGAGUCCUUCCAGAAUAUAAACCAUGUAUCUUUUACAAGGCCCCCUUGUGAGUAGUUUUAGAUGCCCAUCUAGGGAGCCAGACACCCAUUGCCAUGGCCCCUAUCCACCUGUGUCCCCCCCCCUCCCCCACCCCGGCCACUGUUUUCUCAGUGUCUUUAUGGUAAUGGCUUAUGGGAAUACAAGGCCAGUCCUGAAGCUGGUUGAUUCACGGGGAGCUAGUAUUUCAGUCCUUCCAUAUGCUCUACUUUAGCAUCGUCUUCCAGAAAGGAGAGCUUUUUCAAAUCUAGGAAGGACUAGAUUUGAACACUCCUGAUUAAAGAGUGUCAGUUGCUUUGGGGUAUGAUGGUCUGUUUUAAGUGUCAAUGGAACCAAAAGGUUUAACUGACUUAAGUGUGAUUGAAGGGACAACAGUAUGGAAGAUGCACCUUGAAGAUGGUCCUUCUACUAGGGUUGAAGUCAGGAAUGAUAUUGGCUCUUCCCUGGCAUGUGGAGACUCAACAGGCAAGCUUUGUCUUUAUUCUCAUCAUGCAUCAGUAAUAUUUUAAGGAAUAUGUGAAUACUUUAGUAUUACAAGUAACCUUGUAUCUGUCUUUCAUGCUCCAUGACUCAACCAAUAUGACUGUGUGACCAGGGGCAGAAUGAAGAUGAACGUUUGCCCAUGUUCUACCCACACUAACAUAGCUAAGUAAUGAUAAGAUUUCACAAAGGAAAAUGGAGUUGGCUCUGUUCAUUUUUAAAGUGCUCAUCUAGACAUUGAGGAUUGAGCUUGAGAGCGUCUCUUGAAAUCUUCUUCCUGAACAUGUUGAACUGGCUGUUAGGGUUUUAUUCUUAGCCAACAAGAUUGGGAUUUCAGAGUCCACAGGGUGGCCAUCCAGCUGCUCAGACACCGAUCUGUGAGCUCUGCAGGAACCACAGUCCAGCCCAGAUCAGCCCUAUUGCUUCUUUCUCCAUGAAAACACAUGACUGCCAUGACCCUGUAUGCUGUGUGGAAGGAACAUUCUGUGCUUUUCUGUGCCAAAACCACAGCGUGAUGGUAAAAAGAUUAGAGAACAUCUCAAAUAUAUAUUUUAAACUGUGAAGACCAUCUCACACAUGGAAAUAAAUUCAGCCUUGCAGAAGAUUCGUUUUGUUUGGCAGUGGUAUCUUUCUUUGGGAGGUUGGAUUCUGUAAAGGUUCUGGCCAAACUCUCAUCCUAUCAUAUGAGCCAUGUCUGAGAUGUCUUGCCUACCCCCAUACAGAGUUGGAAAGCGCUCAGGUAACACUUUCUCAUCUUUUUCAAGUACCACUACAUUUCUGGGUUUAAAUUAAUGUGGGUAGAGGGCAGCAAUGGUUUCUUGGGCUGUAGAAGCGAAGAUCUCUCUUGAAAGUAUUGAUGGAAAGGAAACCUGGUGAGAGAUGUGGACCUUGUACAAGUUUUAGGAGAAGAAAUUUGAGAAAUGUCAUCAGUACUUUCUCAGUACAUCAACUUUCUUAGGCUUAUCUUAAAGGCAAAGGGAAGUGGAAGCUUAGGAAAACUGUCUUUUUCCGGGCUGUCCAAUAGAACUUUGUACCAAAGUGGAAAAGUUCUAUUCUGCACAAUCCCCUAGUCUGGCUAUUCAUGCAGUGGCUGAGCACUUGAAAUGUGGCUGGUGCAAAAGGGAACUAAAUUUUUCAUUUUGUUUCAUUUCAUCUUAGUUCAUCUACAUUUAAAUGGCAACAUAUGGCCAGUGGCUCCCAUAUGAGGCAAUAAGCCUGUAUGUUUCAAGUCAAAAACUUGUAUAUUUCAAGUUAAAAAGCUCCUUAAAAUCUAAAUUCAGUUGAAGGAUAUGUUUACAUGGAUUAUUAUUAUCAUUAUUAUUAUUUGCCUCUUGUCUUUUUUUCUUUAAGAGCCGCACCUGCGGUGUAUGGAGGUUCUCAGGCUAGCAGUCAAAUAGCUAUAGCUGCUGGCCUACGACACAGCCACAGCAAUGCAGGAUUCAAGCUGAAUCUGUGACCUACAGCAUAGCUCACCACGACACCAGAUCCUUAACCCACCGAGCAAGGCCAGGGAUUGAACCCGCAUCCUCAUGGAAUGCUAGUCGGGCUCAUUAACCGCUGAGCCACAACAGGAACUCCUACAUGGAUUAUUUGUAUCUGAGUCAGCAAUGUGUGGUCCAUACAGAGACUAACAGUUCCAUUUACUCUUAUGACUGUCAUUAAAGCAAGACCAAAUGAAGAGUGGAUGUCUAGCACUACCCAGUACCACCAGUGCUGGCCUGGAGCUGGACAGGAGAUUACCAUCUAGUCUCUUGGCUUCAUCAUCAAUUCUACACUGACCUCUAAGGAUGCGAGGCUUGCUUUUCCCAUCUAUGAAAUGGGUGCAUUCGGAAUCUGUCACAGGGAUGUUCGCAAAUUAUGAGUAACUCUAUACCGGGCUUGUCAAAGAAAGGUAUGGGCUUUUUCUAGACACCUUUUCCUUGAAAAUGACCUCAGCCAAAGAAAAUCCUGUAGAGCUUGGGGAUGUCAGUUUCCAUGUUUGUAGAAUACUUGCCAUCGUGCUCAAUUAUUUUUAAGGUCAUUUUCAACUCUCUUGCUUUGUGCUGCCAUGGAUAUACGAUUUCCUAUUCCAGGGGAUUCCGUCAUGUCAGCAUGGAGUUGGCUUUUCUAGUUCUGAGAUCCCUACAAGUCGUUGUAGGGGAGAUUUCUCCUUAAGUGUCAAUGUGAGCAGAGCAACUUAUUUAGCAAACAACUAGUGGGAGGGGGGACUUUGAGCCCCCCUUUCCCUCCAGGGUGGGUUCCCUGGAUUGGCACUAUUUUGUGGUGCCAAGACCCACAUGCGUGGGGUCUCCAAGACCUGAAGCAAUUCCUGUCUUCCCUUCAUGGCCCUUGGCCAUGGACAAGAGGACACAUGACCUGCUCUGCCUGCCAUGGCUUUGGAAUUACCAUGAGGAGGAAACACCUAGUCCUUCUCUGGGGAGAUCUGACCCCCUUACUGAUGCCCUCUAACGAGCAGAACUCUGGUGGCUUUUGCUUUGGAAGUCUUCCAGCGGACAUCCCUGAAAUCAGGCCUGUGUCUAUCACUGAAUCGGUGGUACCCAUUUCUGAGUUGAAUUGUUUAAAACCAAGAUGGGUAGAUGUCCAGUCUAACUCUAUAUGAUGGUUUUAGGGGAGAUGAACCAUUGUGGCCCUGCUUCUUACUCUUGCCCUUCAGAAAGGAUAAAAUACAGAUCAACCCACAGGCUUCUGUGAACCCCCAAUUCAAGGCUUUAAUGAUUUCACCCUGAUUACAUAACAGAGACGAGCACUAGCUUGGUAGUUUUGUGGCUCGUGCAUUUUCAGAAGAAUCUCUUUCCUCCACCUUUGGUCUUUUCAGAUUGCAAUUCUGUGACCCUGUAAUUCAGUUACUCCUGGUACGUUGCGGCGAGCAUCCAAGGGUAGGUUUCCACUGUUUGCUGUAAGCCCCUGCAGGGCAGACACUCUGCUAGUUUGCCUUUGAGACCCCGGCACCUGGCACCUGUUCAUGUAUUUAUUGAGCACCUUCUGUGUACCAGGGGCUGGGAUACAGUGGUUUAAAAAAAAAAAAAAAGAUAGGCAAGGCUUUUGCUGUGUCAAGGAGGGAAAACGGAUACUGAGCCUGUUCUUACAAGUGCAAAGAGGUCUGUGAAAAGGGAAGUAGAAGAUGCUUCAGGAGAAUAUAAUAUGGGCACCUAACCUGGUCUCAGAGGUCAAAGGCUUCCCCAAGAAAGUGACAUUUAGGCUGAACCUUGAAUGACAAGCAGGAGUAGGUAUGACAGAGAACAGGCCUUGGAUAAGCGUUUGCUGAAUGAGUGAAUGAAUGAAGUACUGCUUUCCUGCACAGCUGACCCCAGUCUGCUAAAGGACACGAGCCCAGCGACUCUGACCUUCGUCCCUCUAGGUGGUGUCAGUGGAUCCAUCCCUGUCUUCAGUGAAGGCAAGUGACAUGGCAUAAAGAAUAUCUCCAGGGUACAGUUAAUCCUCAAAGACCUGAUCAGACCAGGGUUUGGCUGAGCCCAGAUGUUAUAUAUGUAUCCGUUGAUGUGCUUUCAAUAUGCAGUGCAUUCAGAAAUGUCAAGGACAAGAAGGUUUCCGAAGACCUACUUCCAGCUUUGAAGACCCCGGCGUGUGGGCUGGGCUUGUUCUCAGCUUUGUACAGCUCCUCAUGGGCAAAGUCAGGCAGCUCCCUGGCAAACAGAGCUCUGGAAGCUGUCCCUGCCGGCUUUGGUAUGAACUGCUAUCUGCCUUUCAGCACGCCCUGGACCUCCCCAGGCUCUGGUUUCCUCAACUGCAGAACAGGAAGAUUCUGCCAAUGAUAAUUUUACCUCGAAGCGAUGUUGUAAUAUAGAUGGCUGUAAAAGCAUUUUGCAAGAUCAAAAAAAAAAAAAAAAAAAAAAA
rnacentral:lncRNA from 1 species